rnacentral:rRNA from 1 species
CGAGCGGUAACAUUUCUAGCUUGCUAGAAGAUGACGAGCGGCGGACGGGUGAGUAAUGCUUGGGAACAUGCCUUGAGGUGGGGGACAACCAUUGGAAACGAUGGCUAAUACCGCAUAAUGUCUACGGACCAAAGGGGGCUUCGGCUCUCGCCUUUAGAUUGGCCCAAGUGGGAUUAGCUAGUUGGUGAGGUAAAGGCUCACCAAGGCGACGAUCCCUAGCUGGUUUGAGAGGAUGAUCAGCCACACUGGAACUGAGACACGGUCCAGACUCCUACGGGAGGCAGCAGUGGGGAAUAUUGCACAAUGGGCGCAAGCCUGAUGCAGCCAUGCCGCGUGUGUGAAGAAGGCCUUCGGGUUGUAAAGCACUUUCAGUCAGGAGGAAAGGUUAGUAGUUAAUACCUGCUAGCUGUGACGUUACUGACAGAAGAAGCACCGGCUAACUCCGUGCCAGCAGCCGCGGUAAUACGGAGGGUGCGAGCGUUAAUCGGAAUUACUGGGCGUAAAGCGUACGCAGGCGGUUUGUUAAGCGAGAUGUGAAAGCCCCGGGCUUAACCUGGGAACUGCAUUUCGAACUGGCAAACUAGAGUGUGAUAGAGGGUGGUAGAAUUUCAGGUGUAGCGGUGAAAUGCGUAGAGAUCUGAAGGAAUACCGAUGGCGAAGGCAGCCACCUGGGUCAACACUGACGCUCAUGU